rnacentral:rRNA from 1 species
GAUGAACGCUAGCGGCAGGCUUAAUACAUGCAAGUCGAGGGACAGCACAGGUAGCAAUACUGGGUGGUAACCGGCAAACGGGUGCGGAACACGUACACAACCUUCCUUUAAGUGGGGGAUAGCCCAGAGAAAUUUGGAUUAAUACCCCGUAAUAUAGUUGAAUGGCAUCAUUUGAUUAUUAUAGCUACGGCGCUUAAUGAUGGGUGUGCGGCUGAUUAGAUAGUUGGCGGGGUAACGGCCCACCAAGUCUACGAUCAGUAGCUGAUGUGAGAGCAUGAUCAGCCACACGGGCACCGAGACACGGGCCCGACUCCUACGGGAGGCAGCAGUAAGGAAUAUUGGUCAGUGGACGCAAGACUGAACCAGCCAUGCCGCGUGAAGGAUUAAGGUCCUCUGGAUUGUAAACUUCUUUUAUUUGGGACGAAAAAGGGCCUUUCUAGGUCAACUGACGGUACCAGAUGAAUAAGCACCGGCUAACUCCGUGCCAGCCGCCGCAGUAAUAC